GGGAAUGUGGCUCAGAGGUAGAGCACUUGCCUUGAAUGUAUGAGGCCCUGGGAUCGACUCCCCAGCACCA
rnacentral:tRNA from 1 species